rnacentral:rRNA from 1 species
UUUAACGGCCACGGUACCCUAACCGUGCGAAGGUAGCAUAAUCACUUGUUCUCUAAAUGGGGACUUGUAUCAACGGCAUCACGAGGGUUACACUGUCUCCUUUCUCCAAUCAGUGAAACUGAUCUCCCCGUGAAGAAGCGGGGAUAAGAAUAUAAGACGAGAAGACCCCAUGGAGCUUUAAGCUCAACAACACCUCUACAAUAUACCUCCUCUUAAACUACGAGACCUGUCUGUUAGCUUUAGGUUGGGGUGACCGCGGAGUAUAAUAUAACCUCCACGACUGACGGGACUAACCCCUUAUCCAAGAGCCACUGCUCUAAGAAUCAUUAAUUUGAUGUAAAAUGAUCCGUUCUUCGAUCAACGAACCAAGUUACCCUGGGGAUAACAGCGCAAUCUACUUCAAGAGCUCCUAUCGACAAGUAGGUUUACGACCUCGAUGUUGGAUCAGGGUAUCCUAGUGGUGCAGCCGCUACUAAAGGUUCGUUUGUUCAACGAUUAAAACCCUACGUGAU